rnacentral:tRNA from 1 species
GUUGAUGUAGCUAAUAAUAAAGCAAAGCACUGAAAA